rnacentral:lncRNA from 10 species
UUUGUAGUAUGGAAGUUGUAAAGCUGUGUUUUAAUAGGAUUACCUUAGGAAUAAGAGGACUGCUUUUUAAAGAUACGAGAUCCCGCUGCCUUGGCAAUUCUGUUAUCAGAAAGAUAGUGAUUUUGAUACAAAACAGUAAGAAACUGUAGAAUUGCAGGACCCAUAAUCCUCACAAGGAAGAUUUAGAGAGUGCUGUGUGUCAAUCACUCAUCAGCACCUCACAGAUAUUAUCUCAAUUCGUCCUGGCAACCAUCACUGCCCCUACUUAGCAGUCUCAGAGAGGAGACUCAACUCACACAGGGGCCAAGAGCUGGACCACGGAAAUGGGACAAAACAUCCUUUCUGCCAACUGCAGGGGCAGCAGAACGCCACAGUGGUUGAGCAUGGGCUCUGGUGAAGGAUGGCGGGGGUUCAAAUCCCAGUUCUCCACCUCUCUGCUUCGCUCCGAUUCCUGGGCCUCUGAGCUGGUCUCCUCCGCUGUGGAGUAACAGUGUGACUGCUCAUCUGCACAGAUUCCUUCUGUGCUGGACACGGUUCCAACUUUCCAACUACUCCCGCAGGAGCUCAUUUAGUGGAGACAAGAUCUUGCUCAGUGUCAUAGUGAGGAAGAAAUGGAAAUAUCUGUGCAGGGCCCAAGCCCGGCCUGGUGCGGGAGAGGCAUUAAUAAACGCAGCUUGAGUUCAGAAGCAGGUGGUCUGUGGCUCACUCAGCCUGGCUUC